UGUACGAGGAAAAUUAGUCAAAGCAAUUAAAUGCUUUUUCCGAUGAACCCAAAAGCAGUGAACGCCACUUCAGUUUCCCCUGUAAUACGCCGCUCUUCUCCUUUCUCUUCGAUCAGAAUGGUUCCGGCUAGAUACUUCCGGUCGCAAGUAUCAAUCAACAACAACCCCUUGACACGCAGGUAUGUUGUUCUUCACGGGUCUCUCAAUCGAGCAGAUUUAUCUGAUCACCACAGUUCCCUGACGCGAACUGUUCCUCAGGUAUCAACAACCCCUUUGCUCGCAGGCUAGUUGACUACCACAGGUCCUCGAUCGUUCAAUUAUUCCGCUCUGAUACCAAUUAAAGGGAAUUGGUACCAGAUUAGUAGAUAAUCGGAAGUUAAGAAGAGUAAUUGGCUAACACCCAAUGUUUAUUAUCAAGGAAACUUAACUCAAAACCUUGCAAAUUACAAUCCCUACCAAUUAGAUUGGUAUAUAUAGCUAACCUAAACGCGUUAGACUAUAACUAGGACGCUUAUUAAUUAAUUACAUGAUAUUUAUCUAAUACACAUCCUAACCCAACAUGUAUAGGAUACUUAGAUAACAAUCCACUAAUUAAUUAAUAUAUUGUUUAUUACUUGUCUUGCACUCCAAGCAAUCCUCUUAGCCAUCCUUCACGCAUGUAAGCCACGGAUUAGACUAGGAAUUCCCAACACAUUCAGCCUCACUCCAAGGAAAUGGGUUAAUCCCGUUAACUCCAUAUAACCAUAUUUUUAAGUGGUUUUUGGUUUAAAAAAGAAAAGAAUAAUUAAUGUAAUCUCUUAACAUCCCGUUAACAUAUAACCCCUUUAAUGCCCUUUAACACAAGGAAUGAUGUAAUACCGGUUAAUAUGUCAUGUCACCAUUAACACACCAAAUGUUAGAGUACACCCCGUUGCCAUACGAGUAGUUAAUCACUUAAAAUGUUAUUGAGAAGUUUUGUAUAUUGAAUAUGCACCAAAUGAAUCAUUACAUUGUCAUGUGAUUCGGUAGCUGCUUUCUUCGUAGCUUUGAAUUUUUCCUUUCACCAACGAUGAUUGAUGUAACAUAUUAAGGAACAAUUUUUUUUUAAAUGUGUUCUUGGCCUCUUGGGUUGGUUGAUACAAUAAUGUUAAGGUCACAAAUUUUAACACUAAACAAAUUACUUCAGAGUAAAUUAUAAUUUUGUAGGUUUAUAAUUAUAUAUUUCUAGGUUUAUAUAUAAUAUAUAGGGUUACUAGGUUAUCACCCGUGAAUACUCACGGGUUGUUAAUCUAUCUUUCUUAACAAAAAACAUAUAUACCAAAGGCACAUCAAAUGUAAUGCAUGGGUUUAAUUUAAAAGCAAAACCAAUAGUAGUUGAACUCAAUGAAUAAUAAACUAUCUUUGGAUUUGCAGUCCAUUAACAAUCGACACACAUGGUUUUUAAUUAUGGGUUUGCAUUUAUUAUUCUAAUGAAAUAAUAGUGAUAAUACCAGCGAAUUGCGCACUCUUGAAAAAUCACAUGUUUGUCCUUCUUAUAUAAAUGAUUUAGGUUACAUCAAAAAAAGUAUAUGAGGACAAAAUUAUAAUGACAAUCGGAGUUUAAAAUACAUCCACUUCCCCGAUAUAGAGUCCGGUAGGCGGUACUCCUCUCCUCUACCCAUGAGAUCGAAAAAGAGUUCUCGUAUUCGGUUACAAAAUACGGUUUUACUUUGAUUGUUUGCUAAAAAAAAAACAAAAUAAAAUGUUAGUGCAAAAUCUAAAAAAAUUAAAACUGAAAAUAAAAAAAGAAAACAGAGAAUUAAUAAAAAAGUCGGUUACUUUAUUAGGAUAUCACUGACUACACAGUGAUUCAUAUCCCUUUCUCAACCACACCCUUUUAUAAAAAAGCCCUAACUUCAUUUGCAUACAAACAUCCUCACCAAAUCGCCAUUCACAGUCGGAGCAUUCAAACAGAAAUCAAUAACAGUCAAUGACGAGUGCUUCAAAUGCGCGAAACAAACAAAAGAAAGAAAAGGAAGUGAUCAUGCUAACAGAUUCGGACUCAGAAGAACCUUUCACUUCGGAAUCAAUUGACUGGGACGCACCAGAACCAAAUAUCAUUUGGAUGCCGUCCUCUUGUUCACGUUUUCGGAUAUCGGUAAAGGUCGCAAAAGCCAUGGGAAUCGAUCACUGCCGUACGGUGACCAUUCAAAGGCGUGGUGUCGAAACCACUUUGAACGUCUCGGCUGAACCAAAAAGAGGAAAAAAGAAAAACAGGUUUACUGUAUUGGGAUGGUCAGCAUGGGUUCGUGAAAACAACAUCAAGCAGGGUUAUCUUUGCGUUUUAGAGUGGUAUGAGGAUAUGCCUACACUCUUUGUUAGGGAUAUAAUCAAAGAAUAAUGGGGUUAGUACCAUAGAUGAAAACCGUUCAACCAUUUUAUAUGGUAAUUUUGGCUAAAAAACGGUUUUCGCAAUAAGUAGAUAAGUAAGUAGCAAUGGUUUUUGUAGAACCUGCUUAAAUAUUUUGGUUUAUGUUAGAUGUUGGAAUGGAAUAGUA